rnacentral:pre_miRNA from 1 species
AAGGGAAUAGCUGGGUCGAAUGGUGGUUCCAUUCCCAGCUUUCCAAGGAAUCUCCAUACUGUUUUCCAAAUUGGCCGCACCAGUUUGCAGUCCCACCAGCAAU